rnacentral:rRNA from 1 species
UACGUAGGUGCGAGCGUUGCCCGGAUUUAUUGGGCGUAAAGGGCGCGUAGGCGGCUCUGCACGUUCGUUGUGAAAUCGCCCGGCUCAACUGGGCGGGUCAGCGGAUACGGCAGAGCUUGAGCAAGCUAGGGGCAAUGGAAUUCCCGGUGUAGUGGUGGAAUGCGCAGAUAUCAGGAGGAACACCGGUGGCGAAGGCGGUCUGCUGGGCAGUUGCUGACACUGAGGCGCGACAGCGUGGGAGCAAACAGG